rnacentral:lncRNA from 1 species
ACGCUGAAAAAUUUUGUAAAUUUUUUUGGAACUAAACAAAGCAAAGAUAUACAUAUUAUCUACAAAUUUCAAAUGCCCAUAGUGUCGAAACGUUCCGUGCCGAUGAGCGAAUCCUUAAUUUGACGAAGGUGCUUCUUGGGUUAGAAGAUUAAUGCGAUUUUGUACGAUAAUAAAAUCCGAUUUCCUAGCUCAUAUUUUUCUUACAGUUAUUCUUCUUCCUGGCUCAAAUUUUCUUAAAGGAAAAAGUCUACAUAACCUCCAAACUAUCUAGGGUGGAAUAUUUUAUCCUCCAAAAUAUUCUACCUCUGAACUUUCAAAACCGAUUAAAUAACCCUCUAGAGUGGUUUUAUAGGGUGGAUUUGUUUUUUUCUUUUUUUAUUUAUUUCCUCUGAAUCUUUGAAAAAUCAUAAUAAAUCACAGA